GAGACCCAGAAGUCUACUUUCAGGGCGUAAUCUCUGUGGAAGUUGUAUCAGAAACUGCGUUUCCCAUGCAGAUGACUUGGCAAAAAACAGAAGUACUCUGUGCAUGUGCAAGAAGCAGAAGAGCAGAGGAGAAGAAAAGCACAAGCCUCUGCCCCACACCACCCGCUUCCCUGUACUCACUGGCAGAAGCUGCAGAAAACUCAUGAGGUGAAAGCGAGGACCCAGUAGGGAGAAGACCAGUGGUGAGACCUGUGAGCCCCAGAGCCAGACAGCCUGAGUUCCAGUCACAGCUCUUCCCUUCACUGCUGAGGGACGGUGAACCAGUGUGUGCUUCCUUUUUCUCAUCUGUAAAGCCCUGGUACAACGUGUCUACCUUGGAUACAGUGAUCACAUAGGUUAAUAGUCAUGAGCAUUUGCAGCACCUGGAACAAGUCUCCACCAAGAAGCUGAGCAGCAGAACACGGUUCAAGGAAUGAACCUGGAGCUGGUUGGCCUGCACUUGAACCCAACGUUUCCUGCCUUAGGAAUCCUGCAAGCUGCUUGUUGAAGUGAUGGUAAUUUGAAAUUGGCCACAUUGAGAGUAUCUACAGCAAGAAAGUGUGGCAAGAGGAACCUAAUCCAAGGAGGAUGGAACAUUUAAAAAGGACAGAUGAGACUAGAAGGACAGCAGGAGGGACAUGGACACUCGCUGACCCAGCAUUGACCCCCAGCCCAGCAGACAAGGACAACACCAUAGGCUAAGUUGGAGGGAAUGUCGGCCUUUGAAAGGUCUUCUGGAGUAAAGACGCCUGGGAAACUGAUCAACUGCCUCCUGAUGUUACAUGAGAAAGAAAUAAGACAUGUAUUAUGCAUAGGAAGGGGGACUCUGUAUGUCCUUGGGACAAUGCUCAGCUAAAGGAGAACGUGUUUCUAAUGAGCACAUAUUUGUUAUAUGUGGUCCUUGGUCAGGAACUCAGAUUCACCUUGAUUAGUUUAGCCAGAUCACCUGGACUAAAGGCAAGACAUCUUCAACAACACCCACUGUCGUUUCCUGAGUCCCUUUGGUAAACUCCAGAUCCACUGGGUGGUAGAAGCAGAAAAGGAGAUCAUAGAGCUGAGAUCAUGCACUGAUUUGCAUUUAGUAAAUGUGCACUGAGUGACUGUGAUCAUUGCUGGUCCACUGCCACAGAUCAGGGGACAGAGGAAGCCCAUGUAAUGACAACUCACGGUCACCUGGGUGCCUGGUCCAAACUCAAACUCCACAACUUCAGGGCUCCCUUUCCAGGAUUUCACAGAGUAGUAUGUGUAGGAGACGGCUUGGGUUACUUUAUGUUACUAAUGCGAGUGGAAAUUGCAGAAUGGAGAGACACUAGGCAGAGGUUAGAAAAAGCAAGGAGGAGGGAGGUGGGCGGACAGGGAAGGAUGAACAUAAUUACUGGUAGUUGAAGAAAGCAAGAGGCAGAACGCUAUGAACACAAUGAUCUCCUUCCUUCCUGUCUUUUUUUAAUUAUAUUUAUGGCAAAAGAUUGGUAAGAAUAUAUCAAACUUUUACCAGUGGUGAUUUUUGGAGUAUGGGAUUUGGGGAGGGGAGCUCACUUCAAAAUUCUACUUUAUAUUUAUAGACUUCUAGAUUAUUCUAUAAGAAGGAAGAAUUACUACUUUAACAAUUUAAAAAGAUAAAAUUUUAAAAACCCUGUCAGGUUAAUGGAAGCCUCACCAGGGUGUUCAUGUGUGUCGUGGUCCUUCUGGGGAGCAGAGGCCUCCAGGGUGAGGUUGGCGCUGACUGCCGGCUGCCCGUCGUGCUCCACCCGGCAGGACAGCACCUCCCACCUGUGGGCGGAUGAGUUCACCAGGAGCCAGCUCGUCCUGUUAAAGGUCCCGUCCUUAUUCUCCGUGAAGGUCGACGCCGUUUCUAUCCGGGACACGUUUCCAUUCUCCACCCAGCUCAGCUGGAGGUCUCGGGGGUAGAACUGCUUCGCCUGGCAGGUGACGUUCACCUGGGUCCCUGCCAUGGGCUGUUGGGUGACCUCCAAGGUGGGCGGAACUGAAACAGCACAGGGCAGGAGCUCUGACCUUGUGGAACAGAGAGGUCACAGGGCAGGGGCUGGAGAGCAGCUCCCAGCCCAGCAAGGGGGUGCCUGAGGACAGAGCCAGGCAUGCAGCAGGUGCUCAAACACUUAGUGUGCAUUUUGCAUAUGAAUGAGAUCCUAAGCACCCUGCAGGACACACAGUAGGUGCUCAAGGAGUGGUUGCUCCUGUUAGGGUUAUAAUGUGGGGAAUCAGUAAGCAACUGGCAUGCAGUUGGAAUAUAAUAACUGCAGCCAAAUAAAUGAAAUCCCUAGGCACUUAGGGGUUGGCUUAGAGUAAGUGCUCAGUAGUUGGAGAUGCUGUUGUAAGUAAAGGAAACUGCUGAGCACAGUGCUUGGCACGUGGCAGGUGUCACCUGGCAGCUGCCAUUAAAUCAGUAGUGAGUGAACAUCACAUGAAGGUGCCUGGUGGUCAGGAAGGACUGUCAGGAAUUCUAUUCCAGGCAAUUCAAGGCCUGGAGCCAAAAGCAGGGGGAGGAGCAGGUGGGGCUUGGGGACAGGUGUGGGCUCCGGCUGUUGUGAGGGGCAUCUACCUCGGAUGGUCUCAGACAAGUUGGCAGUCCCACGGAGAGGAGGGCCCCCCUGCAGGGUGACGUGGGCCACCUCGCAGAUGACCUGGGAGCGAACAUCCCCCGGGGCCAGCACCACCUUGGCUGUGCUGGAGACGCUGUAGGAAAUGCUGUCUCCCUCUGGGUCCACACUGGUCUGGGAGGCUGCGAUCUCGUUCCUGUUUUUGAACCAUUUCAGGGAGAUGGUUCUUGGGGAGAAGCCAUGGGAUCUGCAGGUGAAGCUCACUGUCUGCUCAGGUGGGGCCCUCGUGGCGGGGCCUGAUACCACGGGAGGAGAGGGUUUGGCUACAAAAGGAGCAUUUACAACAAUGAACAUAAUUGUCAUUAUCAUCACUAAUGAUAAGCUUGCGACACAGUUAACAACAGGGGAGAUAAUUAGGAUUAAUUAAUUUCUUUUUAUUUUAAUGGAGGUAGUGAGGAUUGAACCCAGGACCUCGUGAAUGCUAAGCACGCUCUCUACCACUGAACUCUACUCUCCCCACUAAGAACGUUUCCAUAUAUUAUGUUUUAAUUCUGCGAUUAGUUCUCAGAGGGCUGUGUCUUCAUACUCAUGCUAAAAGGAGACACACUGUUUCCGAGAGGUGAGCUCUGAGUCAGGGGUGGGGCGGACAUGGUUUCCAGGCCUGAGUUCAAAAGUCCACUUUCUUUCCUCCACCAGGUGAUUUCUCACCAAUCUGGGCGCAGGAACAAAAGACCUGAUGGCUGCCACUCUCCUAUUAACUCUUCCUAGCUGGGCUCCCCUGGAAAACUUAACUACCUACUGAGAAGCAUUCACAGAAGUAAGUGCGGGGGAAGCAGGGGUGGAGCGAGACCACCUUGGAUGCUGAACCAGGCUGGGCAGUAGAUGAGGGGUGUGGCCCACACCCCUCCCAGCUCCUCAUCUGCGAAAUGGGAUAGCAGGCCUUGUCCUUCCCGGGGCUGCAGCGAGGGUUCCAUUAGGCAGGGGAAGCGUCUUUGCUUUAAGUAAAAUACAAGAUGCCUCCCAAUACUAAACACUGUACUUAUAUCCAGAGCUGUCUCUUUGGGUUUCUAUGAAUUUACUCCCUAGUUUUCAUUCUUUCCACAAAUAUUCCAGUAGGAGUAGUAUACCAGCUCCUGAAUUUCAAAGGCAGGGGGCAAAGGGAUGUUUUUCUGAAUCUGGGUUCUUAGCUUGGUUCAGUUUUGAGUUGAAAGCAAAGAUCACUGAGAGCUGAGAAAGCAGAGGUGGUUAAUUUCUUAAUCGUUAUUAAAUCAGAAGAGACUCAGACAGAGGCCCAUGAAGCAGGCAGAUGUACCGCCUGUGUCUUGAAAACAAACACAAAUCAGCUAAUCAAAAGGGAGGGCGGUUUCUCCCUCUAGAAGGUUAUAGGGUGUCUCCAGAUUGUUCAUUAUUACCCAACACCUCUUGUAAAGGUUGGUAGACAGCGAAUAUUACAAACAUUUGCAUCUGUAAAUAUUUAACUUGCUUUCUAAAAGUCAUCAAACACUUUGAGGACAUAGUAAGGAAGCGUUACUUGAACAAGUCAAGUCAUAAAAAACGCAGCAUCCUGAACGUCCCUAAAGGGAUGAGAUACUGUAAUAAGUCAUCAUUUAGAGUUUCCUGGGAGCCUGACACUGGGCUUAUCCCUGCAUGACCUUCGGCUCUUUAAUCUCCCCACCAGCCCAGUGAGGGGGGCCCGGGUGUGGUCCCAUUUAUGGGAUGAGGCUCAGGGAGGACACAGCUGGCCAAGGGCACCCAGCGAGGAAAGGUCGGAGCUCAUCUCACUGCACACAGUCACUGAUUCUAGUGUCUCUGAUCUUUACCUCUGAGCCUCAGUCUCUGUUUCCCUGCAAUGUGUGUGACAGCCCCACCGUGGUCAGACGAGGGGGGAUGUACAUAAAACAGAGUCUGGUGCGCAGCAGGUGCUUUAUCAACAAGACCUGUGAUAGUUGUCACAAGGUCUGGUUGUUCCUAGUUCUGAAACUGCCUGUUUAUUCUUCAGGCAGUGAGAAGGCAGAACACAAGCAGAGCAGGAAAAAACAAACAAACAAAAAGUCUCAAAUCCUGCUCCGUGCAGCUGGCAUGAAAAACCCUGAUGAAAAAGCAGCAAUAGAAGCACCCCAGUAUGAUUCUCUUCCUCUUUUUUAUAAUAAUCCCUUCAGAAAACAAAUUGGGGGAAUUGGCUUUCAAAAUAUAUGAUGUUGCAGGCAUUACCCCGCAGACCAGCUCUUUACAGAAAGCUGGAAGCAUUAUAAAAGGAGGGAGGAGAGAUUCCAUCAGUGUCAUGUUGGUGUGUUGAGGCAGGAGGGCUCUGGGCUGAGCAGGGAGUGUUUGAGGGGCUUCCAGUCCCUCUUUAAAGAUGGGAAGUUUUCCCCAGCAACAAAGCUGAGGGCUGAACAGAGUCCUCUCUGGGAAGCCCCUCUCCACCGCAGAUGAGCUCCAUGGGAGGAGGUGUCCCUCUGCUUCUGUUGAAGCUUCCUUUCUUGGCCUCUGAAGAACUGUCACUGUCACGGGCUAUUCUGCAACGUCCCCAAAGAGCUGUUCUCGCAGCUCCAGCACCAAGGAAGAGUGACCUCUGUCUGGGCAAAACCCGAUCUCCGUCUGUGACCUUGGAGAACACGGAGCUCAGGGCUUCUCUGCCCCGGAUAUAGGCAGCAUCCCCUGCAGGAGUUAAUCAGUCAGGUGCCCAGGCCCACGUGUCUCCAAUUAUACUAGGCUUUCUCAGGUGGAGACAGGGGCUGGGGAUCGUGUCAGCGUUACCUAGGUGAAUCUGAUGGUCAGCCAAGGUGGAAAGCCCAGACCCCACCCCAACCCCAGUUAUACUUAGUCCUGGAAGGAGUGAGCUGCCCAAGGCCUCAGGCUUCGGCACGUCAGAGGUAACAUGGUGGAACACGUACACUGUUCCAGGCUCUGCUCUAAGCUCUGUACAUGGAUCCCUCAAUCAGUCCCUGCUGCGGCUCUGGGAGGGCGGUGCUAACAGGGGCGGAACAGGCCCCCAAGACCCAGUGUGGGGAGGGACGCAUCUGAGGUCCUAGACCUGGGACCUUGCGGAGCUGGGAUGGGAGUCCAGGCAGUGGGGCUCAGCCCAGGUGCGCAACCACUGUGCACUGAGGCUCAGUGACACCCUAGCCCACCCCAUUUAGCGCUUUCUAGAUCCUCUCCAGCCAUCAAAAACCCUGAAAGGCAGCCGAGAUUACAGGUGGGGAAACAGGACUAGGCGGGAACUGAGACUUGCGCAGACCACAGCCUGGGGGGACAACGGCAUGGCUCACUGAAAGGCUGCUCUGUCAGCAGGCUCAUCGUACCCUCAGGACAUCCUGCAAAGGUUGGUGUGAUUGUAGUCCUUCUACAGGCCAGUAAGCCUUGCAAAGGGAAGUGAGACACAGCCUUGAAAAAACACCUCAAUUUGGGGGGUCUACUCUGUGCUGGUGGUUUAGACAUACAGUCUGAAAUCUGAAUAACCCUGCUAGAAAGAGUCCAUGAUUAUUACCAUUUUAGAAAUGAUAAAACUGAGGCUGAGAGAAAUAAAAUCUCUUCACCCUCACAACCAUAUCCCAGAGGGAAUUCCCUUGACCCCUGAGGUUUCAUGUCCAGCAACAGAGCAGGCACCCACCUUCAGGGGCCCCCACAGUGACCACCACCCGCCCUUUUUCCCUCUGAGAUUCUUGACUUCAAGCGAGACCAGGGAGGAGUGCCCUCCAGGGGCCCAGGCCUGGGGACCCUGUAGCAACAAGGGGGAGACACGGGCUCCUGACACCUGAGUCUAGAACAUGAACUCUGUCCACGCGGGGACCCCAGCAUCCUCUAGGAACUACCUCCCCCUCCCCCUCCUCAGUCUGCGGGGCAGGAGUGGGCGUGCCGGGUGCUGCUGGGAUGGAGCGGCCCCUCUGCCCUGUCCUCGCUCCCCUUCCCGGAGCUGCUCCCGCAGGCCACUCAGUGAAGGGGCGACAUCACAGCAACAGGGAGGAAAGGACUCCUGGGGCUUCUGAGUGCGCUGAGCCCUGUCUCAUAGGGGCAGGUUCAGGACGUCAGGAGACCCUGCAUCUGUCUGUUCCCAGUUAUAAAGCUAGCCUGGCAGCCACACAGGAUUGUUGUUUUUAAUACUCAUUGCUGAAGAACAGCACACGAAUUUAAAAGGAGAGUGUUAGAGCUUUCUCCCCACUUUGACAAGCACAGUGGGGUGUGCAGAGAGCUGGGUGUGAGUCAGGCUGCUUGUGGUUCUACCUUGGCCCCCUUACCUGCUCACCCGCCAGGUCCCCUCUCAGAGCCUCAGGGGCACAGAUGGCCCCUCCCUCAGAGCACUGCCUAUAGGCAGUAAAUGCCAGGAGGAAGAUUCAGCAUCUGACAGGCUGCUACCCCCUCACCCCCUCCUGCCUCCCUCCUUUCUCAUCCAGGGAAUCAUCUGAGCAGGUGCUCGGGGAAGAGGAUGACGGUCUCCUGGGAGGCAGCAGGUCUGAGUGGGGUUGGAGCCAGUUCCCACCUGUGAUUGGCUGUGCAGGGGAGGCACCACCUGGGAAUGUUAGUGAUACCCGCAAAGCCAGGAUUAACCUUCCCUCCUAUGUCCAGGGCUUGUGGGGAUAUUUGCUUGCUAGAACGGCUGAGAGUGAAAUUUUGCUAUAUCCACACGAAUUAAAAUACACAUACUCUCUGAUGUAGCAAUGACACUUCCAGUGGGAAUUUCCUCUUUGAUGAGAGUGAGGCAUGGACAGCAGUAUCAACUGAAGUGCUGUCUUAAUAGCCCAAGGUUGGGGACAACUUGGUACCCUUCAACAGGAGAAUGCAGAGGGAAAGACGCUCUGUCCAUACCGCGUGGUGUUUUGCAGCUGCUGAGACCCUGGGCAGCUCUAGGUGCUGACAUGGGAUGAGUGACUUGGGAUCAUGUGGCUGAAAGUAGGCAGAGGUUGCCAGUCACCUGGGAACUCACGGUCUGAAUGCAAGGAGCAUUUGAAUCUUAGGGAAACUGAAGAAAAGUCUCCCUGUUCAAUGGUUUGACCCAAGGAGCUUUUUAUUCAGCACCUACUAUGAGCCAGGCUCUUCCAAGGAGCCAGUGUCCAAUGGUGGUGCAGGAGGAGCCUGGACUGAAUCAGCUGGGUUCUGUAAGGAUCCCAUCACUCACUGGCCUUGUGAGUGUGGUCUAGGUCCCUGUCACCUCUUGGCCUCAGGCUCCCCAUGUGUAGGUGGGGGGCAGGGCAGUUGGUGUGUAAAAAUCCUUCCUGCCCUGACAGUCCAGGAUUCAGGAGUUAGAAUGAGGAUCCUGGGCCUGUGGCAGAAAACCCUAAAGGAGCACCUUUGCUACCUCAAUGGGGCAGCGACUAAGACAUCGACUUGUGGAAUCUCUUCCCUGGGUGCGGGACAUUCUGAGAUGCGACAGCUGUGCUUGGAGCCAUCAGUGACUAUGAGUUGAUCCUGAAUCACAUGAGGGUUUCGUGACAGACCCUCCCAGGAAACACCCAACCUCUGGGCAUCUCCUCCAAACCUGGCGUUCAGAGUUAACACUGAAUCUCUGCCUCUUGGAGUUUCUUCUCAGUGUGAUGUUUCUGAAGAAAUAAAGUAACACAUUCUACAUCCUGCCCCCUACUCUCGACAAUUCCCCGGCCAGUAUGGACUUCCCGCAUUGGAAGGGAAGAGAACACAAGCUUCAUAGGAGAAGAGCCCUUGUCUGCUGUGUUCACUGCUGCUUCCAUGGCAUCCGGAGCAGGAGCAGGCACACAGUAGGUGCUCAGUAAGUGCUUACUAAAGUGAAGACUUGGCCACACUGAGGGGAGCACUCUCUGGAGACAGGAGUUGAGGUCUGGCCUUUGAGCGGGCAAAUCACUUGGACCUUAGCUCCCUCGAGCCUGGAACCAAAGGGCUGGGCUUGCAGACUUUUCAUACCAGUUACCAGCCGUGGGGCCAUGAGUAGAUAGCACGACCUCUCCAGGCCUCAACCUCCCUGAUCUGUAGACAAGUGGGAAAUCGGAUCGUGACCCAGUCAUGAUAAAGCGCCCACUGCUGCACCUCAUUCUUACUUUUGCUCAAAGACAGGAGGGCAUUUUGUUGACUUGUUGUCACAGAGCAGGGGACGAGGGGCCCACGUGUACUCACCACUCACAGUGAGCCGAGUGCCUGGUCCAGACUUAUAUUCCACGUCACCAGGGCUUCGUCUCUGGAACUUCACACAGUAGUAGGCACCGGCGUCUGCCGGGGUGAUGUUACUGAUGCGGAUGGAAAAGUCCAGGUUGUCUCUCCUUGUGACAUCUGAAGCAUUUGUUACUCGGGGGGAGUGGCUUUUCUUCAAAUCGUAGAUGAACUGCCGGCCUGGCCCUGUGCCCCUGAACCACCUGAUGGGCCCCACAGGGAUCAGGGAGGUCGUGGUGCAGCGCAGAGUGGCCGUCUCUCCAGCUGUGACCGACACUGACGUCUCAGGCUGAAUCACCUGCAGCUCCUGAGCCGCCACUCCUGGAGGGAAACACAGCAGUUAUUCAUUCCUCCUCAUUUGAUCAGAUGUUUCUGUCUGUCUGCUUCCUGGCCUCAUGGUGGGUUGUACUUCUGGACCUUUGCAUUGGGAGGGGCUAUGAGACUUCUUUCAACCACGGAGAGAUGACUUGGCAAAAAACAGAAGUACUCUGUGCAUAUGCAAGGAGCAGAAGAGCAGAGAAGAAGACCAGAAGCCCUCUGCCCCACACCACCCCCUUCCCUGUACUCAUUGGCAGAAGCUGCAGAAAACUCAUGAGGUGAAAGCGAGGACCCAGUAGGGUGAAGACCAGUGGUGAGACCUGUGAGUCCCAGAGCCAGACAGCCCGAGUUCUAGUCAUAGCUCUUCCCUUCACUGCUGAGGGACAGUGAACCAGUGUGUGCUUCCUUUUUCUCAUCUGUAAAGUCCUGGUACGACAGUGUCUACCUUGGAUACAUGCUCGCAUGAGUUAAUAGUCAUGAGCAUUUGCAUCACCUGGAACAAGGCUCCACCAAGAAGCUGAGCAGCACAACACGGUACAAAGAAUGAACCUGGAGCUGGUUGGCCUGAACUCGAACCCAAUGUUUCCUGCCUUAGGGUCCCAGAAAACUUAAUAGGAAAGCUCUGAAACUCCAGAGCGCUACUCAAUGCAUGACAGUUGGAAGCCUCUGAGAAUUCCAAGACACAUUUGGAGAAAAUGAGAUUGUUCACAACCUUCCCCUAAGGCUGGAUCAUCGAUGUGACUUUGUGUGCUCACUCUGGACUCCUCUUGCCAGCCCAGGAAAGGGGCCCUGAUCUCCCUCCCUAAGGACUAAGGCUGCCAUCAACUCACCUGUUACAGGUUCCGCCACCUGCAGAUGUAAGACCAUGAAACAGAUCACCAGCAGCACUUUUAAAACCCAGGAGGAAAGCUACAAGGAUAAGGGCAGGCGUCUCUGGACCUAAGGGACAACAGGCAGAGGAGACAACAAACUGGUCUCUUGGGUGUUAAUUCCUUACUCCACCUGGAGACAAAAGUGACCCAGUUGCUCAGAGGAUUAGAUGUGAGCUUACCUGGCCUCCCAAGGGGUUGUCUGUACUGUGGGCUGCUGCGGACAGUAUGAGUCUGGCCCUGGUGGGGGGCUGUGCCUCUUGCUGCACCUUACAGGUGAGCACACUCUCGGACCCCUGCACCGAGGCGUUCACCAACUGCAAGCUUUCCGGGGUGUAGGUCUCAUAACUGUUCUGCUUUGGCGUCGGCUGCUUGUCUCACUGGAACACACGGCAGUUCUCCAUCCAGCUUAGGCCCAGACGGCAACGUAUGUGGGCAUGUUGCCCGCUGUCUCCCAGUGAUGAAUCCAUAUGAAUUUACAAAAAUGACUCAUUGUAAAAGGGAAUUGACGACGAAGACGAGACUGCAAUGGAGACGCAACAAGUGGUGAUGCUGGAGGUGACAUUCCAACUGAAUGAAUCCUGCAAGCUGCUUGUUGAAGUGAUGGUAACUUGAAAUUGGCCACAUUGAGAGUAUCUACAGCAAGAAAGUGAUGACUUGGCAAAAAACAGAAGUACUCUGUGCAUGUGCAAGGAGCAGAAGAGCGGAGGAGAAGAAAAGCACAAGCCUCUGCCCCACACCACCCCCUUCCCUGUACUCACUGGCAGAAGCUGCAGAAAACUCAUGAGGUGAAAGCGAGGACCCAGGAGGGAGAAGACCAGUGGUGAGACCUGUGAGCCCCAGAGCCAGACAGCCCGAGUUCCAGUCACAGCUCUUCCCUUCACUGCUGAGGGACGGUGAAUCUCUCUCUGUUUACAUUCUCUCAUCUGUAAAGCCCUGGUACGACAGUGUCUACCUUGGAUACAGUGAUCACAUAGGUUAAUAGUCAUGAGCAUUUGCAGCACCUGGAACAAGGCUCCACCAAGAAGCUGAGCAGCACAACACGGUUCAAGGAAUGAACCUGGAGCCGGUUGGCCUGCACUUGAACCCAAUGUUUCCUGCCUUAGAGAGAUUGGACAGAAGUAAACUUGCUCCCCACCUCGGGUGUCUCCCCUGGGCCCCUCACCCCAUUCAUGGUGAUCCCCAACUUAGGAGCCCCAGACAAACUCACAGAUCCCAAGAAGGAUCCGUGGUUGUGAGCUGUGGCCCAAAGUCCCAAGCCCACCACCCAAGGAUGUGUCUCGCUUGAAGUCUCACCCUGCGUCAAUCAAGAGCUACUCAGCUGGAAGAAAGAAGAGCGUUCACCAGGGCUGCUCAGCUUUGGGAUGGAACCAGAUCUGCUCCUGAAAUUACUCCCUAUUCCAGCCCUUUAUUGAUGUAACUGGUGAAACAGCCAAAUGCGCAGUGCAACGUGGACGUCAGAACUUGUAUGGCCUGCAUCCAACAAAGGGAUCAUUUUCUUGUUUUAAGAGAGGAAGUGAGUUGAAAUUACUCUCACAGGCGUUUAUCUCAGAGAAAUGAAAACUUGUCCACACAAACCCAGUGCAUGAAUGUUAUGCCAGAUUCCUUUAUAAAGCAGAUAACUAGAAAAAGUCAGAAUGUCUAAUAAUAAGUGAAUGCUUUAACAAACUUCGGUGCAUCCAUUCCAGAAAAUACUACUCAGUAAUACAAAGUAAUGAGUUAUAUAUGUGUGCAACAAUUCUAAGUUUCUUGAAGGUAUAAUGUUGAGUGAAUAAAGCCAAUCUCAAAAUACCAAUUCCACUGAUAUAAUAUUCUCGAAAUAGGAUCCCAGGCACCUUUCUCUCUCUCUCUCUCUCACACACACACACACACUAUAGUGAGAUCAAAGCAUAAAUGAAGAAUAAAAUUUGAUCAAUUAUUGCAGACCUUUUUUUUAAAUAAUAAAAUCUCCAAAUUAUACCAACAGUCUGCUUUGUGGGACACACCAGAGGAAGAGAGACUCUCCUAUAUGUGCCAAGGAAGCAAAGAUAUGAAUAUUUGUGCAAAAUUGUCCUACCAAGGCAUUAGAUAAAACUCCAAUAUCCAUCACAAGAAAAAUCAAUACACUGGCUUGUUUUUACAGUAGAAACCAUAGAGCAGUGGAAAUCAAUGAAAUUGAGCUACAUAUAUCAGCGUGAAUGAAUCCCACAUACUAUGUUAAGUAUAAAAAAUAAAAGUUCCAGAAUGCUGUAUACAGCAUAGUAGCAUUUAUAUAAAAUUUAAAACAUGCAAGUAAUAUUAUACAUUGCUUCAGGAUUUAUACAUAUGUUUCAGAAGUAUAAAAUCACAAUACACACCAAAUACAGGACAGUCAUUUUAAAAGGAACAACAGACCAUUAUAGCAAAAUGUUAACAGUUUGCAAAGAUAGCGUGGUAGGUAGGUAGGUCCAUGGAUAUUUUUAUAUUAUUCUUUAUAAAUUGCAGAAUAGAAAAAUGCUUUUUCAACUUAGUGAUUUUAAAUCUGUAUGUAUUCAGAUGAAAUCACACUUGCAAAAGCUCUGAAUUUUUAAUACAAAGUAAAAAGUGCUCUGAAAAUAAAGGGUUGUUCAUGAUCAGGAGCAGGAUGGAAACCUGUUUUCUUGAUCAACUUGAUUCUUUUUGGGGUGGAGACAGGGCCAGUUUGAAGUUCAGUGCAUCAGGGUCCAGACAUCCCUGAUCUCCAAGACCAAAGUCCAUCCUUAACUCAGCUCCAAAGCUCAGAGAGAAGGAACAUAGGAGGUUGUGUAGAAGAGAGCAUGUGUGUGGUGGAGGUGGGGGUGGCAGAGUGAAGGAGAGAGGGGUCUUGGGUCCGGUCCUUACACCUUCUCUCCAUUUGAGGCCCUUGGACAGGGCAGGAGGCAGUGUCGCAGGGCAUGCAGAAGCUGUAGGGAAAAACAUUCAUUCAUUAAGUCCACAAUGUUUGUGCACACACUCAAUGUGGCAGGCACUCUGCUUGGCCUGGGUUCAUGGCGCACAUCAGAAAUGAAGCCCAUACCGACUACACCCACUUCCUGAGUUCUGAACCCUCCCCCAUACCCACAUUCAUCUGUGUUACUAGCCACUCCAUCCAAGUCCCCCAGAGAGGCUCCAUGUGUUGAUUUUUGGAAGACUUGAAUCAUUCCAAAGAUAUAACUGAAUAUACAACAGUUUAUAAGGGAGAGGCUUUUUGGAGUUUGGGUCUCAAAACUUUGAUUUUUAUCCCACCUUCACACCUUGGACCCAACCUCCAGGGUCCCAGAAAACUGAAUUGGAAAACUUCAAAUUUCAGGGCUCUAAAUAAUGCAUGAGAGUUGAAACCCUCUGAGAAUUCCAAGACACAUUUGGAGAAAAUAAGAUUGUUCACAAUCUUUCCUUGAGGCUGGAUCAUUGAUGUGACUUUGUGCGCUCACUCUGGACUCCUCUUGCCAGCCCAGGAAAGGGGCCCUGAUCUCCCUCCCUAAGGACUAAGGCUGCCAUCAACUCACCUGUUACAGGUUCCGCCACCUGCAGAUGUAAGUGACCACGAAACCGAUCACCAGCAGCACUUUGAAACCCAGGAGGAAAGCCACAAAGAUAAGGGCAGGCGUCGCUGGACCUAAGGGACAACAGGCAGAGGUGACAUCAAAUGGGGCUCUGGGAUUUAAUACGUCACUCCACCUGGAGACAGAAGUGACCCAGUUGCUCACAGGAUUUGAGGUGAGCACACGCUCGGACCCCUGCACCGAGGCGUUCACCAGCUGCAAGCUUUCCAGGGUGUAGGUCCCAUCACUGUUCUGCUUCGGCGUGGGCUGCUUCGCUCCCUGGAACACACGGCAGUUCUCCAUCCAGUGCCCACAGAGCCAUUAGGAUCACAGAUUUUUUUUUUCUUUCGUCUUUAAAAGUUGGAAGAUUCACCUGGGAUCCCAGUAAUUCCCCAGCACCAUUUACAUCAAUUACUUGAAGUACAUUUUGCCAGACCUCUGGUUUCACUUGGCAGUGGAUGUGGAUUCUGUUCGCUCAGUGCGGUCUGAUGUUGCCACACUUCAAUCAAGGCAAGACCCACCUGCUAGAGCAGAGGGAUUCUAGGCUCCACAGCUCCUCCCUCAGCCACCUGAUCUCAGGGCAGUGAUGUGGGGCGAUGCCACAUCUCACCUGGGAUUCCUGAAACACUUCCCCGAUGUUCUGCCUUGAUUUCUCCGUAACCAUGAAACGGCACCCAGCUGGUGCAGACACCUCCUCCGUGGGACAAUCCUGAGGCAGAGUCUACGCAGUUCCUCUGAGGGUCCCCAGGGACACUGAGCAUCAGUCGUCCACAGGGGCACCCAGUUCAAUAAUUCACCCCAUUCCCUGUCUCACUUUCCCCGUCUCUUACCCCAGCCUCUCUCGAUCAUCUCCCCACCACCUGCGCCCAGGACCUAGUUUCAGGUUCUGCCUUCAGGGGAACCUAAAUAAAGACCCCCACAAAGAUAUUUCCAUGAUGGGAAACCCAACUUGAGAUGCAGGCAGUGUUGAGCAGGGAGGGUUUAGAGUAGGGGCUAAUUUGUAAAUAAUUCAUUUGUGAAUAUUUUUAUUAUCUAUGAUUUUUGCAUCUCUACACAAUUGUCCAAACUCCAGGGAAUUAUAUAAAAAUUCUCAGAUAGGGAGGACUCCCUGCGUUAUCAUUUUCCUAUUUUACAGUCAAAGAUGCCAAGUCUGAGAGACCUGGCGUAAUCAGCAGGUGGUCCCACAGCUGGUGAACAGCAGAGCCAGAUCCUGAAUUCACGUCAAAGGCUCUCCCUCCCUAGCUUCACACCCUUGGGCAACCUUCCCUUCUUAAAACCUCAGUUUCCUUCUAUAAACCACGAAUGGGACAAACAAUACAGGGCAGUUGUACACAAGAAAUAAGCCAGUGAACAUGAUUGUGUAUACUGACUGUGCUGUCCUCAUUGCAGUCAUUAAUAUCAAUAUUUUAUUCAUGCAAAAUGAUGUGCUUCCUCCCACGAUAAUAGCAAAAAAAAAAUGAGGGAAAUAUACUGUAAACUUUAAAAGGCCUAGAAAUAUUUCAGGAAUUAAUUUUACUGCUGUGCAACCUGGGACAACUCACUUCCCUCCUCUGGGCGUUAGGGUUGUCGUAGGCAAUGAGAUGGCCGCAAAGAUUCCGUCUAGGUGUGAUCUAAAGGAAUUAUUUUUACCAUGUGAUUUAUAGACCUGUCAAGCAUUGAUCCAGGCCAGGAAAAGCAAAACCACCAAAAAACAGAUGAAAAAUUAGGUCCUGACCCAGAUAUGAGUAAUGAUCUAAAGGCAUCAUUGCAUUUAAAAUUUAAGGAUUCACAAAGGCCCUUAAAUCCUCUUUAUAUAGAAAUAAUUAUAAUAAUAAAUUAAAUUCCCAGGAGAUGUUUUGUCUCAAUUUUACAAAUGAAAAAACUGAGUUCUGAGAGGUGAUGUGAAUAGCGAUAAAAAUGAAUAAGAAUAA